CUUUGAAUGCAGCAAACACGUAUCGGCCAUUAAAGGAAAAGGAGGCUGGUCUCCGGCUCGCAACGUUGGCCUUAUUGAUUGCCCUCACGCUCACGUACGCCUAUAAAAUAUUAUAAAGCCAUAAAGCCACCUGCAAACAAGCUGGCCAACAAUUAAGGUAACGCCCCCUGAUGGCUGCGGUAUUUUGAUUUUCGUAGCUAAUGUGCUGUUUACGAGUUGCCUGCACCUCGACGUUGCUGGCCCUUAUUUGUUCAGAUCGCAAUGAUAUUGACGCUUUAAGAUUCAAUUUAAAUUUAUGAUUUUGAUGAAAACAUCCGAAGGCUGUUCGCAUAAGAUGCAUUCCUUUCGCACAAGACGCUCGAACGUGAACUUAAAACAAGGCGAGGGUCGAAGAUCAUGGGAGUAUUGUAAGAAGAAAACAUAAAUUGCAAUUCAAACUAAUCUCAACUCAGAGGUAAAACCUAAAUUAAAUUAUUUUAUGAAACAGAAC